GCCCGGGUAGCUCAGCUGGUAGAGCGGCCGGCUGUUAACCGGCAGGUCCCAGGUUCGAGUCCUGGCCCGGGCG
rnacentral:tRNA from 1 species